GGGCGUAAGGAUGCGUAGGCUGGAAAUCGAGUCGAGAGUGAAAUCCAACGGCUCAACCGUUGAACUGCUCUCGAAACUGGUUACCUAGAAUAUGGGAGAGGUAGAUGGAAUUGGUGGUGUAGGGGUAAAAUCCGUAGAUAUCACCAGGAAUACCGAUUGCGAAGGCGAUCUACUGGAACAUUAUUGACGCUGAGGCAUGAAAGCGUGGGGAGCAAACAGGAUUAGAUACCCUGGUAGUCCACGCCCUAAACGAUGCACACUAGUUGUUGCGAUGCUAGUCAUUGCAGUAAUGCACUUAACAGAUUAAGUGUGCCGCCUGGGGAGUACGGUCGCAAGAUUAAAACUCAAAGGAAUAGACGGGGACCCGCACAAGCGGUGGAGCAUGUGGUUUAAUUCGAAGAUACACGAAGAACCUUACCUGGGCUUGAUAUCCUAAGAAUCCUGUAAAGAUAUGGGAGUGCUAGUUUACUAGAACUUAGAGACAGGUGCUGCACGGCUGUCGUCAGCUCGUGUCGUGAGAUGUUGGGUUAAGUCCCGCAACGAGCGCAACCCUCGUGAUUAGUUGCUAACAGUUCGGCUGAGCACUCUAAUCAGACUGCCUUCGCAAGGAGGAGGAAGGUGAGGACGACGUCAAGUCAUCAUGGCCCUUAUGCCCAGGGCUACACACGUG
rnacentral:rRNA from 1 species